GGGGGGAGGGGGCCAGGCAGCCGUUAGACAGCACAACCGAACCCAACACCGGGGCCCAACGGCAGGGGCUUGGGCAGGAGCAAGGUCCGAGGGCUGCCAGGUCCACGCUGCUUUUAUGAGCUGUAACACUCACCGCGAAGAUCUGCAGCUUCACUCCUGAGCCCAGCGAGACCACGAGCCCACCGGGAGGAACAAACAACUCCAGACGCGCUGCCUUAAGAGCUGUAACACUUGCCGUGAAGGUCUGCAGCUUCACUCCUGAGCCAGCGAGACCACGAACCCACCAGAAGGAAGAAACUCCGAACACAUCUCAACAUCAGAACGGACAGACUCCAGACGCACCACCUUAAGAGCUGUAACACUCACCGCGAGGUUCCGCGGCUUCAUUCUUGAAGUUCGUGAGCCACACAUCUCCCCACACCAAGCUCCUCCAUACAAGACCUCGGACUGCAUCACGUAAAUGCUUUUUCAGGGGCAAAAUCUAGAGAAUCUGAAACGAGCUAUCAGCUUCCCAGUUUGCACAAUUCAUCAAGAAAUUAUGCGGGGUCACUGGCACAAAUGAUGAGGCAUCUCCUGGAAGCUUAACUUCUUAUCCAUCCCAUCUCUUGGACAGAUGAUGCCAGUUAAUUACUUUGAAUAGAAGACUCACUGGUGGCACCUGCAGCUGCGGCGUUUUCCCCAAGCUGGUCUGUGGAGAAGCCUGGGACAGAAAGAAGCAGCCAGACUCCAGAAUCCCCCAUUUUAAUAGCUAUUCUAUGCUAUGUCCCCGUCUUAUUCCUGGCAACUUACCUCUCAGCUCGUGCACUGUGACAUUACAGCAAGAAGUACUAAUAUAAAUGACACAAAAGAAAAAAGAAA
rnacentral:lncRNA from 1 species